rnacentral:tRNA from 1 species
GGGCGAGUGGCUCAGUGGUAGAGCGCCAAACUGAUAAUUUGGAGGUCGAAGGUUCGAUCCCUUCCUCGCCCA